rnacentral:rRNA from 1 species
GUGAGGAAUAUUGGUCAAUGGGCGGGAGCCUGAACCAGCCAAGUCGCGUGAAGGAAGAAGGAUCUAUGGUUCGUAAACUUCUUUUGCAGGGGAAUAAAGUGCAGGACGUGUCCUGUUUUGUAUGUACCCUGAGAAUAAGGAUCGGCUACCUCCGUGCCAGCAGCCGCGGUAAUACGGAGGAUCCGAGCGUUAUCCGGAUUUAUUGGGUUUAAAGGGUGCGUAGGUGGUUUGAUAAGUCAGCGGUGAAAGUUUGCAGCUUAACUGUAAAAAUGCCGUUGAAAAUGUCGGACUUGAGUGUAAAUGAGGUAGGCGGAAUGCGUUGUGUAGCGGUGAAAUGCAUAGAUAUCACGCAGAACUCCGAUUGCGAAGGCAGCUUACUAAGCUACAACUGACACUGAAGCACGAAAGCGUGGGGAUCAAACAGGAUUAGAUACCCGAGUAGUCC